UACGUAGGCAGCGAGCGUUGUUCGGAGUUACUGGGCGUAAAGAGUGCGUAGGCGGUUUUCUAAGUUUGGUGUGAAAUCUCCCGGCUUAACUGGGAGGGUGCGCCGAAAACUGGAAGGCUUGAGUAUGGGAGAGGUAAGCGGAAUUCCUGGUGUAGCGGUGAAAUGCGUAGAUAUCUGGAGGAACACCGGUGGCGAAGGCGGCAUUCUGGACUGCAACUGACACUGAGGAACGAAAGCCAGGGGAGCAAACGGG
rnacentral:rRNA from 1 species